rnacentral:rRNA from 1 species
GAAAGACUAAUCGACCCAUCUAGAACCUGGAUCCUUCCAAAUAUUCCUGAGCAGGACGAAGCCAGAGGAAACUCUGGUGGAAGUCCGAAGCGGUUCUGACGUGCAAAUCGAUCGUCUGACUUGGGUAUAGGGGCGAAAGACUAAUCGAACCAUCUAGUAGCUGGUUCCUUCCGAA